rnacentral:rRNA from 1 species
AUUGAACGCUGGCGGCAUGCCUUACACAUGCAAGUCGAACGGCAGCGCGGACUUCGGUCUGGCGGCGAGUGGCGAACGGGUGAGUAAUACAUCGGAACGUACCCUGUUGUGGGGGAUAACUAGUCGAAAGAUUAGCUAAUACCGCAUACGACAUGAGGCUGAAAGUGGGGGACCGCAAGGCCUCACGCCGCAGAAGCGGCCUAUGUCUGAUUAGCUUGUUGGUGGGGUAAAGGCACACCACGGCGACGAGCAGUAGCUGGUCUGAGAGGACGAUCUUACACACUGCGCAUGAGAAACGGCCCAGACUCUUACGGGAGGCAGGAGUGGGGAAUUUUGGACAAUGGUAGCAACGCUGAUUCAGCAAUGCCGCGUGUGUGAAGAAGGCCUUCGGUUUGCAAAGCACUUUUGUCCGGAAAGAAAGCGCGCUGGUUAAUACCUGGCGUGGAUGACGGUACCGGAAGAAUAGGCACCGGCUAACUACGUGCCAGCCGCCGCCGUAA